GACGAACGCUGGCGGCGUGCUUAACACAUGCAAGUCGAACGGAAAGGCCCUGCUUUUGUGGGGUGCUCGAGUGGCGAACGGGUGAGUAACACGUGAGUAACCUGCCCUUGACUUUGGGAUAACUUCAGGAAACUGGGGCUAAUACCGGAUAGGAUCUCCUGCUGCAUGGUGGGGGUUGGAAAGUUUCGGCGGUUGGGGAUGGACUCGCGGCGUAUAAGAUUGUUGGUUGGGUAGUGGCUUACCAAGGCUUUGACGGGUAGCCGGCCUGAGAGGGUGACAGGCCACACUGGGAUGGAGAUACGACCCAGACUCCUACGGGAGGCAGGGGUGCGGAAUAGAGUACAGUAGGCGGAAGCAUGAUGCAGCAAAGCCGCGUGGGGGAUGAGGGCCUGCGGUUUGUAUACCAAUUCCGUUUGUGACGAAGCGUGAGUGACGGUAACGGGUAAAGAAGCACCGGCUAACUACGUG
rnacentral:rRNA from 1 species